rnacentral:rRNA from 1 species
GUCCGUUUGGAGGUAAAAAUGGUCUGACCUGCUCACUGAUAAAAUUAUUUAAGAGCCGCGGUAUAUUGACCGUGCAAAGGUAGCAUAAUCAUUAGGGAUUUAAUUGGAACCUGGUAUGAAGGGUUGGACAAAGGAAAGACUGUCUAUAUAAUAUGAAUUGAAAUUUACCUUUAAGUGAAAAGGCUUAAAUAGAUCAAAGGGACGAUAAGACCCUAUAAAGCUUUAUAAAUAAUUUAAAUUUAAUUAAUUUAACGGUUAAAGGUUGAGUUCAUAUUAUUUUAUUUUAUUGGGGUGAUAUGAGUAUAAGUGUUGUUAACUGCUUAAAAAAAAUUCUGUUAUUAGAGAAUUAAUUAAGUGAAUGAUCCUUUAUAAAGAUUAAAAGACUAAGUUACUUUAGGGAUAACAGCGUUAUUUCUUUUGAGAGUUCAUAUCGAAAAAGAAGAUUGCGACCUCGAUGUUGAAUUAAAAUAUCUAUAUAAUGAAGCCGUUAUAAAAGAGGGUCUGUUCGACCUUUAAAUUUUU